rnacentral:rRNA from 1 species
CCUACGGGGUGCAGCAGUGGGGAAUAUUGCACAAUGGGGGAAACCCUGAUGCAGCGACGCCGCGUGAGCGAUGAAGUCUUUCUGUAUGUAAAGCUCUAUCAGCAGGGAAGAAAAGGACGGUACUUGACUAAUAAGCCCCGGCUAACUACGUUCCAGCAGCCGCGGUCAUACGUAGGGGGCAAGGCUUACCCGGAUGUACGGGGUGUAAAGAGGGCGUAGACGGUCCUGCAAGCCAGGUGUGAAAGGCCGGGGCUCAACGCCGGGUCUGCAUUUGGUACUGUAGGGCUAGAGUGUCGUAGAGGCAGGCGGAAUUCCUAGUGUAGCGGUGAAAUGCGUAGAUAUUAGGAGGAACACCAGUGGCGAAGGCAGCCUGCUGGACGGUGACUGACGUUGAGGCUCGAAAGCGUGGGGAGCGAACAGGAUUAGAUACCCUGGUAGUC